rnacentral:rRNA from 1 species
UACGGGGGGGCAAGCGUUGUUCGGAAUUACUGGGCGUAAAGGGCUCGUAGGCGGCCAACUAAGUCAGACGUGAAAUCCCUCGGCUUAACCGGGGAACUGCGUCUGAUACUGGAUGGCUUGAGAUUGGGAGAGGGAUGCGGAAUUCCAGGUGUAGCGGUGAAAUGCGUAGAUAUGUGGAGGAACACCAAUGGCGAAGGCAGCCCCCUGGGUCAACACUGACGCUCAUGCACGAAAGCGUGGGGAGCAAACAGG